rnacentral:tRNA from 1 species
UCAUAUAUAGUAAAAUCAUUAUAUUUGCCUUCCAAGCAAAAGUUCUAACAACUUUAGUGUAUGUU